CUGUUUAAAGCCAGUGGGUUGGUUCCACAGGAUGCAUUUGAGAAAAAAAUAUCUAAUGAACAGAAAAUAGUGAAAUUCACAAGAAAUAAUUCUUGUGCCUACGUUUUAGAAAAAAUUGGGAAGACCAUAGCAUUGAAGAUCAGCAUGGAAACCAUGCAAGACAUCUGAGAAAUCCUGUGACAGAUUCUGUGAAAGCAAUGAAGGAAAUCAACACAGAGACACGUGCAGCCACUGUCCCCGUCUUAAUUCCCGCAAGAAUAUUUCUACUGGAGUAAAACUCUAUGAAUGCACCAAG